CUCCUAGAGCUGAUAGAACUGAGAAGCUGGUUAGCCCUUAACCACCACAGCGGGGUGCCAAUAUAAACUUCACUCAUUACCUAACCCUAGCUUUAAGGGAAAACGUUUCUCUCAAUCAUUAUUUGCACCUGAACCAGAAAUUGAGAAGAAAAGAGAAUAGCUGCGCAGCAGCCAUGAAAACCGAGAGAUUGGAGAAGAAUUUGUAGGUAAAGAAGGAAUUACAGAUGGUGAUCUGUUAGAUUGAGGUUUUAGUCGAGAAUUGAAGUGCUCUUGCUUUGAAUUUAAGAACCAGAAGAUGGGUUUUGACAAAAAUGGAGGAAAUGAAAUCUGAGAUUGAAUCUGAGUUAGGUUUGUGAUAAAUACUAAUGACUCAAAGAAAUGGAGUUGGAUUUGGGGUUCUGUGAAGCUCAAGGAAGAGAUGAAACCUCUGCUAUCGAUUUGAGAAAGUGGAGAUUUAGGAGAAGAUGAGUUAUUGGUGUCUAUUGAAGGUCAUGGUGCUGUCAAGGAUGAACUCAGGGAAGUUGGUCACUGCUCUUAUCAGAAAUCAAUGAUUGCGAGCCGGAAUUGAAGGCCAAUGGUGAUGAAUUCAAGAAGGUUUUUCUGUGUUUGAUGUUUGCUGCCGGUGCAAGGAAGAACUGAAGAUGCAGAGAAUGGAGUUUGUUGUUGGCUGUUAAUUGAAGAUGAAUGGGAAGGUUUAGAAGAGAGAAUUGAAGCCAAGAAAGGCACACCGUUAUGGGUUUGAGCUAUAAUUGAGAUGCAAAUGGAAUUUGGUUGAAUUGAGAAUGAUGGUAGAAGCUGGGUGAUUUUCAUGGGUCAGGUGGAGUUGAUGUUGCUCAAGUGCUGAAUUAGAUGAAUGUCUAGGACAAGUACAAAUUACAGGUGGUAGUGGCUCUGAUUGGAGAAGUUGGUAGUGGAUCAAGACAAGGAGAUGAGAAGGAGUUAAGGACAUGAAACAUAUUUUGGUGGAGGUGUCAAGCUACUGUAAUGGACUGGUUAUGAUGAGAAGCUACUGAUGGUUGUGGCAUGAUAAAUGGAAGGAUUGUGCAGUUGCAGUGGUUGAAUGCUCAGGUUGCAGGUUUAUGUUACAAAGAGAGAGUAAAAGGCUGAGCUGUAGAAAUGGAAUUGCAGCUGUUGAAUUGGUGCAGCUGAGACGGUUUGAAGUUUAGCUAAAAAGUUGUUGAGGUGUUCUUGCUGCUGAGAUUUGAAGCAGGUAGUGAUGCUCAAUGUAUUGCAGCUGCAUUUGAACCUGAGAUGAAGUUGGAGGUUCUGGUGGCUGCCGUCGAAUGAGAUGUUGGUUAUAGGGGUUUAGUUUUGCUGUUUCUAUUGCCGCAAAGAGAGAUGACUUGAGCUGCAGUCAGUGGUGUUGUGUUACAAUGGGUCUGUGGCAAUGAGUCUGGUGGUGUUAGUUUUGUGAAUCAAGUGCAAGUGCUGAGGAAUUGGUGGAAUCUGUGAAGCAAUAGAAGAUGGCAGAGCUGAUACUUAGGCCCAUAGAAUGUGUUGUUGUUGUUGGUGACUGGAAGCUGGUGCUGUCGUUAAUGGUUUGAAUGAAGUUUUGUGUUGGUAUUAAGUGCAGUGGACACUGAACUGAUUGGUGGUUACAGGGAAUGUGGAGCUGAGUUACAGUGGGUUGAAGCAGGCUAAGAUAUUGCAGGUGGUUAGGUGAUGCUGCUGCUAUGACAGAUGAGAAUUGAUGCAGAUAAGAAGGGAGCUGGGUUGAGUUUCAGGAAUCAGUUGAGAAUGAGGUUGGUACUGUUGAAUCUGCCAGAAGCUGAGAAGAGAUGGCGGAUAUGGAGUUGCAGGCAGUGGUGUUUGAUUGAUGUGGAGAAUGGAUCGAGGAGAAGAUUGCAGGUUAAGCUGCAAUGAGUGUUGCUUUGACAGAAUUGUAGUCACAUUUGGAUGGUCUAUUGGGAUGUGUUCGAAUGGGGAUGUAGCGCCAACAUGGCUGGAGAAUUGAGUUAGCCGUGAUCCUGGUAAAGCAAGAACAUGGCGAGUUGGCUUGUCAAUUCCGCAUAACUGACAGGCAUAUCAAGUGAUGGACCUGUUGGGCUCUUAAUUAUGGGCUCAAGGAAGUGGGUGGUAUUGGGCCAGGAAACAACAAUCGGAUGAGGUGACUCAGUAAUUGAGAGCGAAAACUACAAGGAGACCCAUUCUUCGGAUCUUUCCCACUGUGAAACCCACGGUCGGAAAUCUUCAGGCGCGCCCCCAUAUUUGGGUGAAAAUUAUUCGCAAAACCAUAUUUUCCAAAAUUAUGAGUUUCAAGAGAUAAAGGCGAAAACAAAAGAAAAGAUCUGAUUUUCUUCGUAAUAAAGUCUCUUCCUUUCUUCUUCUUCCUCUUCAUCUUGCUCCUUUAUCAUAACCUAAUAGUUAUUUUUUCCAGCAGCUGUUUCCAACUAGGGUUCCAACUUCUCUCGUGAAUUUAUUCUUUCUCUGGCUGCGGAAAUUUCAAUAGUGAGGAGAUGUUCGUGGCUGCGGAAAUUUCUUUCUCUGGCCUCUUUGAAUUCACUUCUUCUACAAGCAUCAACAAUAUCAACAGAUUUGGGGAUUUUUUUGGAUGUGGAUUGAAUGGGGUUUGGCCGAAUGAAUGGUCUCGAUUAAAUGGGUUGUCAAUUGUGCUUCUAAUCUUCAUGAUGAUGUCUGAAUUAUUGAUUACGAAUGGGUAUACGGCAAGUUCUAUUACUACCACAACAAUAAUGAGUUAAGUGGAGUUCUGAGUUGAGAAGUUGAUUCACCGAAUCAAUAAGGUGAAGAGAGUUUGGAGACCAGGGAAGCAAAAGUGAAGAUUGGUUGUAUACUUGUAUCAGUGAUGGUGAAGGAAGGUGAUUAGAAGGACAUAAAAUGGAAAUCGGUGGUGUGGCCUGUGUUUGAAAAUAAUGGAAUUAUCUGCGAUUGGUGGUUCUUUUGUUGGCUAGCUUUAUACGGGACUGUUUUCAUCCAUCCAGUUAGGACGUGAUGCUCAGCUGGGAUACCGAACAAGAAAGAAGUGAAGCUGUGUUGGAUUUGGUCAGCGAAGAAGUUGGAUUUCUGUCGUAGGUGACUGAGAAGUAAGAUGACCGACAUAAAUUUGUGGUUGCCUGGGAAGGAGCUGAAGUCAAAUGGUGAGAAGAUGAAGCUGUGAUGAUAGAGUUUCUCAUAUUGCAGUAGCUCGAGCGGAGGAAGUAAUGGUGGAUGUUGUUAACUAUCUCGGUGAUGGGGGAAGCUUCGGAGCUGUAAAACAGCUAAAAGAAUAUUUUAGCAUCAUCUCCACUUUAUACUCGGUUUCGGCAGCAUCUUUGGGGUAGAGUCAGUAUUGUGAACUCUCUCAAUUAUCGAUUGAUAAAUGGAGCAGCAACAAGGAGACUUAGGCCCGUAUGUCAGCUGGAGUUGGGAAGAUUCGACUGACGCCUUUGUUAGAUAGAGGAAGCUACUGUAAUGGGUUGCGGCUGGUGGCGUUAUUUCUUGGGUUUUCGAUGGAGGCUGGUGGCAUCUUCUACUUCAUGGUCGUCAGGCUUGGCUGGUGAUGAUGUUGGAAGGAGAAGGACUCGUGCUCGAUACUGGAAAGAGCAUGGAAGUAUCGAUGAGGGUGCAAUUGGGAAUACAAGACCAUUACAGGCGAUAUUAUCAUCCAUGGUUUCAAACCACAUCACCGAUAUCAACAGCCAAUAUGUAGAGCGUGCUUUGUGCAAGUUUCAUUUCGGGUUUUGUUGAUGUUUACCUAGAUUUUGUCGUUAUUCACUUUCUCUUCGUAGUGGAUGCAUAACCAGUUAUGUAGUUAUGGAAAUGAAUGCAUAAUAGG